AGGCCUCGGGCCGCCCCCAGCCGCUCUCGGCCCUGCCCCGCCCUCCGGAGGCCCCGCCCCCAACGGCGGCGGCCGAGGUGAAGAGCGGAGCGGGGGACUGACGCGGUGGGGACAGACCAGAUGGACGCUAGGAAGUCCGCUCGUGUGACACUUCUAGCCGCUGCCCGCCCCUGUUUACGGGCUUGCUCACUGCGGUGACCAAAUCUACCCCAGUCUUGGGUGUUGCCACCACGGCUCCUGAGAAGUGAUUGCCAUCCUUGAAGAAACCCUAGCAGGAGAUGUCACCUCACGUUGAAACUCCACAGCCUCUGCAAGAAGUUGAGAGUUUCCGUGUGUCUGGUCUCUUUCUGUAGUGAAGUUUCCCAGGAGGGAGAAGAGCCACGGCAGCCUGAGAGGCCUGUGGGCUGGGAGCCCACAGGUGCUGGGAGCUGGGGGAGGGCGGAUUGGGGCACUCAACAGAGAAGCGGCAGAGGCUUGAGUCAUGGUCUCUUAUUCUCCAUUUGGCCCUGGGUCUGAUCUCCAUUUUCUCUCACUUCUUUCUUUGCAUUAGUCAAAUGCUGUCUCCUUCAAAUCCAUAACAUAUCAUCCUCCCUUGUUGCCCCGGAAACAGCUCCUCUUUUCCAGCCUAGAGGGUUUUAUUGAUCUCUCUGCCUUCUUUCAACCUCUUUUUAAAAAUAAAAAUGGCA